UACAUUUAUUUUGUCGGUUAUUUAUUUAUUGUAAUAUUAAUUGUUAUUAAAUUAUAAAAUAGAAAAUGUGUGAACGAGUCAAUUGAAAUGUUAGGUUGAAAAUGUGGUACCACACCUAAUGUUUUGUUUUAUUAGCUUGUGGUAACAGUUACGUCGAAGAAAGAUUCCAUCAACUUUGGAAAAGAAAGGAUAUAGAAUCAAUAACUUACUCGCGUUCACGGACAAUCCUUCCGUGGACAAUACUGUGGGAGGGCCGUGAGAAAAUUAGGUGUUCAUUGAAUCUGUCGAAUCUUCAGAAACUCAUAAUGCUUUCAUAGAGACUCAUCAUUAGAAAACGAAUAAUUAUCAAGGAUGUCCAGCUCGGGUCUAAUCAAGAGUUACUCUCGCUUAAACGGAGAUUCAUGGUAAUG